CCUACGGGAGGCAGCAGUGGGGAAUUUUGGACAAUGGGGGCAACCCUGAUCCAGCAAUGCCGCGUGAGUGAAGAAGGCCUUCGGGUUGUAAAGCUCUUUUGUCAGGGAAGAAACAGCAGCUCUAACACAGCUGUGAAUGACGGUACCUGAAGAAUAAGCACCGGCUAACUACGUGCCAGCAGCCGCGGUAAUACGUAGGGUGCAAGCGUUAAUCGGAAUUACUGGGCGUAAAGCGUGCGCAGGCGGUUAUAUAAGACAGGUGUGAAAUCCCCGGGCUUAACCUGGGAAUUGCAUCUGUGACUGUAUAGCUAGAGUGUGUCAGAGGGGGGUAGAAUUCCACGUGUAGCAGUGAAAUGCGUAGAUAUGUGGAGGAAUACCAAUGGCGAAGGCAGCCCCCUGGGAUAACACUGACGCUCAUGCACGAAAGCGUGGGGAGCAAACAGGAUUAGAUACCCUGGUAGUCCACGCCCUAAACGAUGCUGACUAGUUGUUCGGGAUUUUAUCCUGAGUAACGUAGCUAACGCGUGAAGUCGAGCGCCGUGGGUAGGUUAGGUUCGUCGAGAGUAAACUUACANAGAGUUAGAGCGNGAGAGNGCGAGCGACGACGAGGAGGAGG
rnacentral:rRNA from 1 species